AACCUCCAGGCCCCUUGGCCACUUCCUCCCUCCUGCGAAGACAGCUGGCAACUGGGAUGCAGUACCCUCCCUGCCCCCGCCCCCUUCUGUGGGCCACACGCUGUGAGAAGGGGUCUAGAUCCUCCAGGGGGGGAUGGCUGCCCUGUGGUGGCUCUGCAGGCACAUGAUAGCCGACUGCCACUGCUGGGGCGAGGAGGGAGGGCCUCUUUCCACCCGACAGAUACCGACACCCAAUAUAGAAACCGAGAAGAGCCAAGCAGGAAAACACAAGCUCUCACCCGUCUGGAGGCUCCGGGGUUUGGCGCCCAGAUAUGCCAGGUUCACGUUGGCCUUGCGGCCGUCGAUGAUGGGGUUCGGGUCUUUGCAAGCCCUCUCAGCUGCCGCCCGGUCGGCCAUGGUCACCUGGAGGAGCCACAGACACAUCAGGGGCUGCCGUGAGGGAAACCAGGGGCGAAAGGGCAGAGGGCUCCGCCCUGGCACCGGAUGCUGCCACCCCUCUCUUCCCUUCCUCUGAGGGUGCCUGUAACCCAGGGUCCUUGAGCCAAAGCUCCUCUGACCCCUACGUGGGGCCCUCCCACAAAGAUGCCUCCUGGAUUCCAGCUCCUCUCCUCAAAGUUCAAGGCCUGGGAAAUGUGGCCUUCAAGGACAAAAAUAAUCCUCUGCGGGGACAGGGCAAAGACGAACCCCGAAGGGAGGUGGGGGUGCUGCCUGGACUGCCCACCGGUGAGGGCCGAGACUUCCCUCUGGGAAGGAGUUUGCGACGUUGCACUUGGAAGGGAACCGUCAGGUGCUAAGCAGAACUGUGCUUGGACUUCCACACCAGUCAAAAUGCCCUCGCAGCAAAGCCCCACCGAAGGGGCCCACAGGGUGGACUCGAGGUUCAUGAAGUCCCAAGAGAUGACUGGAAGCCCCAAAUGGAUGCCCUGGGCUCCCCAGCACCAGAGGGAAACACCCCCUCGCCGAAGACAGUGGUGAGUGCCAUGCUUCAAGUAACGCAAGGAGCAGCCUCCAGUGCACCUGUUUUAGAGGCCAGCCCUGGAGGCAGAAAGAUUUACAAGGGAGUGGAAAGCUGGCAAACACAGGACACAAGGAGAUGCCCAAAGUCAGUGGGGGUCAGGGUUCAACCUGGAAAUGCAGUCUCUUCAGCUGAGGAAGGCAGCGAGUCCUGGCCAGGAAGCUGGUCCAAGCCCCUGCCUCGUCCCCAGUUCACCUCGUGAAAGCUGAUGAAUGACCAAUGCUUAUACAUGGGUCUGCAGUAACGGUGGCACCGUAUUAAGGGGCGAUCAGGCUGUAUCUUGAUACUGGGAAUCACAGAGGUGGAAGAAACCCAUCAUGCUGACGGGUAGUGAAGAAGAGAAAUGAAAGACACAAGAGAAGGCCAGGUGCAGUGGCUCACUCCUGGAGUCCCAGCUACCCGGGAGGUUGAGACAGGAGAAUCGCUUGAACCCGGGAGGCAGAGGGCACAGUGAACUGAGAUCACGCCACUGCACUGCAGCCUGGGCAACAGAGCGAGACUCGGUCUC